GGGCCGUUAGCUCAGACGGCAGAGCUGCUGGCUUUUAACCAGAAGGUCACAGGUUCGAUUCCUGUACGGCCCA
rnacentral:tRNA from 1 species